rnacentral:rRNA from 1 species
AUUGAACGCUGGCGGCAUGCCUUACACAUGCAAGUCGAACGGCAGCACAGGUGCUUGCACCUGGUGGCGAGUGGCGAACGGGUGAGUAAUACAUCGGAACAUGUCCUGUAGUGGGGGAUAGCCCGGCGAAAGCCGGAUUAAUACCGCAUACGAUCUACGGAUGAAAGCGGGGGACCUUCGGGCCUCGCGCUAUAGGGUUGGCCGAUGGCUGAUUAGCUAGUUGGUGGGGUAAAGGCCUACCAAGGCGACGAUCAGCAGCUGGUCUGAGAGGACGACCAGCCACACUGGGACUGAGACACGGCCCAGACUCCUACGGGAGGCAGCAGUGGGGAAUUUUGGACAAUGGGCGAAAGCCUGAUCCAGCAAUGCCGCGUGUGUGAAGAAGGCCUUCGGGUUGUAAAGCACUUUUGUCCGGAAAGAAAUCCUUGGCCCUAAUACGGUCGGGGGAUGACGGUACCGGAAGAAUAAGCACCGGCUAACUACGUG